UUCUUUAAGAGAAUUAAUUUAAAGUAAAACCUGCUCAAUGUUAAAAACAUAAAUAGCCGCAGUUUACUGUGCUAAGGUAGCAUAAUAACUAGCUUUUUAAUUAAAAGAUAGAAUGAAAGGUUCAAUGAAGUAAAAAUUGUUUCUAAAUAAAAUAAAUAAUUUUAAAAAAAAGUAAAAAUUCUUUUAUGUUAAAGAAAGACGACAAGACCCUAAUAAACUUUGCAUUUAGCUGGGGCGGCGAAUAAAGAAUAACUUAACAAUUAAAUUACAAAAAUCUAUUAUAAUUAACUAAUAUCAAGUUACUAUAGGGAUAACAGCGCAAUCUUUUUUAAAAGCUCAUAUAUAAAAAAAGUCUUACGACCUCGAUGUUGAAUUAAUUUCCUCCUUAGCGCAAAAGCUAAUAAAGUUAGUCUGUUCGACUAUUAAAAAAUU
rnacentral:rRNA from 1 species